rnacentral:rRNA from 1 species
CAGCAGCCACGGUAAUACGGAGGAUCCAAGCGUUAUCCGGAAUCAUUGGGUUUAAAGGGUCCGUAGGCGGUCUUGUAAGUCAGUGGUGAAAGCCCAUCGCUCAACGGUGGAACGGCCAUUGAUACUGCAGGACUUGAAUUAUUGGGAAGUAACUAGAAUAUGUAGUGUAGCGGUGAAAUGCUUAGAGAUUACAUGGAAUACCAAUUGCGAAGGCAGGUUACUACCAAUUGAUUGACGCUGAUGGACGAAAGCGUGGGUAGCGAACAGGAUUAGAUACCCCGUAGUCCCUGUCUCUUAUACA